rnacentral:lncRNA from 1 species
CUUGAGUAGGGAUGAGCAGAGAGUGUUUGUUAAUUUGGGUGAGGAUAUGGCUAGAUUGGGUGUGGGCAAGUUUAGAUUGGGUGUGACGUAGGUAGGUAGAAUGGGAUUUGAUUGGGUUUGAUGUGGUGUGAUUAAAGUGGAUGAGGCGUGGCUAGAUUGAUGAGUCAUAAUAGUACUCAAACUCUAAGGUAUAAUGGCGUGGGAAGGCUAAGAUAAAUAAGAUGAUGGGUGGUAGAGUCCUACUUCCACUCAAACUCUCAAAGAGCUGGGGCAUGAG